UCUUUUUCUUUAUAAAUUACCCAGUCUCGGGUAUUUCUUCACAGAAGUAUGGGAAUGGAGUAAUAUGUUUUAUUUCUUCUUUCUCUGAUUCUCCUUAUUGAGGGUCUAACAUUUCCCCCCAGGUCAGAACAGAGAGUUGCAGUGGCCAUUUCUCCAAAAAGGAGACUGAAUGGGGCCCUUUAUGAAUAUGAACAAUGAGGCCUCCCAGGAAGAAUUGCUGCACGGGUGGGGGCAACGUAAGAAAUGAGGCAGCAGCUCUGGAUUUACAGAGGGGCAAAAGCAGACAGAUCUGCCUUCAAAUCCUGACUUGCUUCUGACAUAGCCUCUAACCUGCACCUUUACCCUUUAGAAAACAAGGAUCCCUUGAAGGAUCGUCAUGAAGAUUCAAGGAAAUAUGGCACAUGGUAAGCACCCAAGAAAUCCUAGUAGUUUGUGAUACGAUUUGUAUUCAGUCACUUGGUCAAGGUGCUUUCUGUGGACUACUAGAAACGGAGCAUUAACUUUUGGCCAGGAUCUCCAUUAUCUCCCUGCCUCUCUACCUCUGUGCCUCCUUCCCUCUCUUCCUCCUUCUCUCUCUUCUUUCCUUCCUCCCUUCCCCUCUUUCCUCUCUUUCCUUCUCCCUUUUUCUUUUUGCCUCCCUCCAUCUCCCUGUCAUCCUCCAUCUCCCUCCGUCUCUCCCUCUCUUCCUUCCAUCCUUCCCUUCCAUUCUGCUUAGUACUAGACAACCCACAGAGUCCCUUGUCCACAAUAUUAAGCAAUAAGCAUUAGGUCUCAGUGUUCCUCAUGCCACAUCUCUCAGAUGAAUGGGUCAGAGCCCUUCCCAGGUCCUGACCGGUUGUCACUGGUGUGGGUGUGCUCUGAUCAGCUUCAUCUCCUCUACAACAGCCCACUGCCUUGCCUGUCCUAGGUUCUGACCGCCAGAUCAACAACCUAAGACUUCUGUUCCCUUGGAGAAAGACUCACUUAAUGGAAAGGCAGCUCCACCAGCAGUACAAAUUGAACAUCCUCAUCCUGAGCCCCAAAGGUCCAUACUAGAAAAGGAGGAAGUUUAGCUCACCCUCUUAAAUUACCAGGUGAUCAUUUGCAAACAAAACUCCCUCAUAAAACACUUCUUUAAACUCUUUACUUGAUCAUAAACCCUAACCUAACACACAUCAGCCCUGGGAUGAAGUAAGCAUUAGAAUUACCCAAGUUUUAUGGAGCAGAGUGAGAGCCAGAUGACAGAGUAUCAGCCAACAGAUUCUAACAGUCACAGAAUCAAAAAAGAUUUAUUGAGAACCUACUAUGUGCCAGAUUCGUAAGAUGCUUCAGUGUAUGUGAUCUCAUUACCUCAUCUCAUUUUUCUCUACUAUGCAUCCUGAUAAGCCAUAUCCUACUCAAAACAAUACAAAUGACCAGUUACAUGUUUAUCAAUAAUGACAGCUACUCAGCACAACUGGACAAUGCUGGAUAGCUGCUGCUUCUGUGAAUUUAAAGAAAAAUUUUGCUGCGAGGCAUGGAAAUAUCUCCAGUCUAUAUAAAUUAGCAGUUGGACACCCUAGGUUUCAAGGGUUAUCCUUUUUAACCAGCCUGGCAAUUCAUUAAGCAUCGGGUAAGAAUUUCUUCUAUUGCUUUUUACCACGGAUGGACAAUGCCUACCUAUACCUGCAAGGGCACCUCCAACAUGCGCAGUGCACCUAAAAUAGCCCUGCGUUAAGAAAAAUGCCAAGCUCAAGUGUAUAAUUCCUCAGUGCUGCCUGUUUAUUUUCUUUCGCGUUUUCACUCUGGCAUGCCAACCCCAAAUCUCCUACAGUAACACAGAAUUGCAGUGGGAUACGGAUCUGACAUGAAACAAAGACCUGCCCCUGCCUCAGCAAAGGCAAAUAAAACAAAAGAUCAAUGAGCCUCAAAGCCAGUGUGCAUAAAUGUCACUGCGCCUGCAAAGAGGAGAGAUCAGAGGACAUUUACAAAAUCACAGUCCUCCCACGGUGGUGGGAAAAGGUUACUGUAUUCAUCUGCUCCUGCCUCCGCUAAGGGCGACUUGGAGACGGACCUCUGAUCUCCCGGUUCCACUUCAGUGAGCGCUCAGCACGGCGGCUGUCAUUUGCAGACACUGAAGAGUGCGCUAAUAGAAUCACAGCCCUCGUUAGCUACUGAAUAAAAGAUCAAUCACAGACUUUGAAAGCUCCUGCUACCAGCUUCCAGAGGAAACAAGAAAAAAAAAAAAGAGCGUGAGCAAGAGAGAAAGAUAUUUAGGAUCAUCGCUGAGAUUCUGAAUGGCCUCGCUGCAAGUUGCUUAAAUUACCUUUUCCACAACUGACUCCAACUGUAAUACUCAGAGGAACUUGUUAAGCCUGCCUUCAAGAGCAGCAUUCUAAUAUAUGACUGCUAGACCCUGGUCAAAAGUUCAUAAUGUGCAUAUGUAAAAAGGUACUAAAUUGCCUGAGGGCUAAAACCAGAGGAGUUUAAUUGUAGCAAAAUGCUGAAAAUGGUCUGUUGAGGGUCCUUCCAUUGGGAUACUGCUGGCUCUAGCUGAUUGAAGUACAGAACAUAAAAGUCUUACAACAAUAUUUCCUUAAAUGCUGGGGAAACUGCCAGCAGUUGGUAUUGCAUGAAUGUUGUGGUUAAAGAAAAACAUUUUCCUCCCCUAAAAUAAAUAGAGUAUUAAAAACUGCUCCAGCCCAUAAUUCUAAAGCAUGACGGGAAAAGGGAGGGCUCGACGAUCAUAAAUAAGGUAUAAUUCAUAGGGCAUGUCCAAUCGACUUGCAGUGUAUUUUUACAUGGGGCACAUUGAAGGUAUUCAGGCG
rnacentral:lncRNA from 1 species